CCGCGGGGCUCCGACACCGCCCAGGUCUGGGGGGAGGUCGCAAUGGCUCCGGGACCCUCUGCCACCCGCGUGGGGAAAUGGGACUGUGAGCGCGCAACCUGAGAGAGUCCCUGGCGGCCGGGUCGUUCGGGGACGCCCUGGUCCCUCGAGUUCCUGCUACUCCUGUCCCACCGGCAAGCUGGUGAUGGGCCCCCUACUGCAGGAGGGCAGAAAUUAAUGAAAAAGCAGGUGCUCAGGAAAAAUUCACCCCAGCAAUCCUCCCUUCCUCUACCCGCCCCCCCCCCUUCACUUAACGCAACAACGCAGAGGGCGAGUGAGGUGUCUCACGACCUCGUGGGGAGUCAGCCCCCACCCCGCCUUCAGGUGCAGCGUGGGACACGGGGACACCUGCCCAGGAAGAGGCCUAUUAUGACUCAGGGUGAUACGUGCCACGACACAGCCUCGUGCACGCGGGGACCACGGCCCGGCCAUGCUGGGAGCCGCCCGGGAGCCGCCCAGGAACCACAGGCGGGCAGCCAGAGGGACGCUGCCACCAGCUGGCACUUCCCAUGCAGGGAAACGGGGGCCCAGAGCUGAGGAGGGCCUUCCCUGCGGAGCGCGGGAGCAAAGCAGGACAGGCCCCGACCUUUGACCUGAAGGGGCCCCAAGUCCGAGUGUGGGCCCCUGCGCUGCGUUCAGUGGGUCCCAGCUCUGCCUUCGGGGGACACCGCCACACUGGCCAGCUCCCUCCGACCCAAGGAAAGGCUCAGAAAGCUUCACCCACACGUGCACCCCAAGAUUGAGGCUGUGGGAGAAACCAGCAGCCCCGGCUUCACUGCGUGGAGGAGGAAACGGAGGCCCAAGCGGGAGGAAUCGAAGGCCACGCUGGAGACAGGCAUGGCGUGAAACAAAAGUUCAAGACACGUGCCUCCCAAUCCAGCGCCCUGGCCAAGCAACCCCCGAUUCCCUGAGGUCGGCCCGGACCCUGGAAGCUCAGCCCGGCAGUGGAGGAAAGUGCACCUUGUCUGUCAGGCGGUCGGUGUCCCAGUCAACGAGCUUGUCCUCUGGUGAGGAUUAGAAGAAGAAAAACCACCCCACCCUCUGUUCCAGCGAAAGCACACGAGAGAGACUAGGAAGGCAGACUCCCGGCACCGCCUGCGACCGCUCUAAGGACGAGGAUGGAGAAGCAACGUCACCCUUCGCUGCCUCGUUUUCCUCAUAGAAGUCGCCUGUCCCAGGAAUUAUAAUCACAACUUAGUCAUACGUGGUGACGGUUACCCUCAUCUGAAAUAAACUUUUAUAGCGUGCAUUUAUUUUAAUACUUGCUUGUCGCCUGUUCCUGCCUCUGGAGGGUCUUGUGCCCUGGGGGUCACGCCUGGCGUCCAUAUGCCCAGAACAGUGUCCGGCAAAGAAGGUGCCCUUGAUAACAAUUGGCUCAAUGAAAGAACAAACACGACAAACAUCUGGUCAAACGAGUAAUGGACGAAGAUUCCCCAAAUCAGGAGAGAGACGCGAGUCCAGGGUGUGUCACGGGUUCAAACAUGGUUCAGCCUCCGUGGGAACUGCAGCAGGACCUGCCAGCACCCGAGGAGGGCCACCCGGGACCCAGGAGUUUCGCUCCUGGGCGCAGGGCCCCAGAAAGGAAGGUGCAAGCCCACCGGACGACCAGGGCAGGGGUGUUCGGAGCAGCUCUGCCGGUAGGGCCCAGCCCUCAGCCACAGGAGGAGAGCGGGCAGAAGUCGCAUGGUGACGCGUGCCCUGCGGCGGUGCGUGGCCAUAAAACCAAGACCGAUGCCCACACCCACCGGUGGUGCGUCACCUGCGCCUCUGUUUUCUGUGCUUCUGAUGCUGUGGCUUCUUGGGGUGUCGCUGACCCCGAAGAGACUGCCCCUCCCAGGACCAGACGGUUCUGCAGACAGUCCAUCAGCACUGAGCCCAGGUGGGCGCCUUCCACGUGGGCACUGACCAGCGGGGUGCCCGCGCUCAGGGCCGGUGUUCCUGCCCGCAUCCCCGGGGCCUGGCACCAGACACUGGCCGGACAACCGCGAUGAGCUCACCCAGACGGGCCGGGCCUGGGCCAGCCUCCCCUGCCUCCCCAGGACACUGCGUGGGAGGCUCCCGCCCGGCCGCACCCGCCCCGCUCUGCUGUUCCUCCCGGGAGCCGCACCAAGUGGGCUGCCAAUGGCGGAGGUCAAUGGCGGAGGUCCCCCAACCUGUCGGCCUCGCCACAGGUGGCUCAGAAUGAAACCUGCGCAUGGCAGGCAGGUGGCUUGGCGUCAGACGGCGGUGGCAGGUCUGGAGACUGCUCUCUGCACGCCACGUGGUCCGUGGCCACGCAUGCAAGCUCCACGCGCAGGCUCCAGGAGGCGCCCGAGUACCGCAGCGCAGCACCGCGCUGCGGCCGGAAACACGCGAAGCUGGCCGGAUGCUGGACCGGACUCGGCUGUGCAGAAGAAACUCUGGACACCGGCUUUCGUCCUGGCCUUGCUGAGGACUGGACCUUUUCCAUGGUGGGAGGGGCAGAGCUGGGGCACUGCAGGCCCAAGCCCUCCGCGUGACCCACUGUUCCACCGAGGAGCUUGGCUAUUAGGAGCCCACAACCCGGAGGCCUGGCCGCUUGCCCAUCACCGAGUCACCAACGACACUGACCACGGAGGCCAAGUUGCGUAGGGACUUCUGGACUGGAGGGCCUACCCACAGGCUCAGCCACGAGAGCGAGACCCACACCCCUGAGGGGGGACCCACGGGGCCGGCGCACCCCAGGGGGCGUGGCCCCGGCCCGGCUGGCUCGCUGCUGGACAUGAGGGAGACGGCUGCCCCCUGGCGCUCAGGCCUCUGCCCCGCAGCCCCAUGGGCUGAGGCGCAAGAGGAACCCGCCCCACAGGGGUUGCUUUUCUUCCUUUGAGCCUGGGGAUCCUUCACGCUCGGGGCUCGCUGUCUGCUCAGCCUCACCCUGGUACGCAGGAUGCUCGCCGCUGCGGCAGCGCACCCGCCUACGCCCCCUCGCAGAAGCUCACCGGGCCAGGCUGCGGAUCAAUGCAGAGGACCGCUCGCUCCCCAGGGCCUCCUUCUGCUCCCCCCCACCCCAGUUUUCCACCCAGACUUUUUGGGUAACGCCCAUGUCAGCGAGAGUGUUAUGGACCAGCCCAGAGGGACUGCUGUUUCUACUGGUGCGACUCCAUUUCAUCCUCGUAAUAAAACGUCGUCUGUGCUCUCACACUACACGGAUUCUCUGCCAUCCCCAUGAAGAUUCCUCCCUGUGAGGUCACAGCAUCCAGAGGCCAAAUGUACUCAUCGUGCCCUUUCAGUUUCUGUUAUUCUUUUUCGAAGUUCUUAUUUAUCUUAGAGAGAGAGAAAUAUCCAUUUGUUAUUCCACCUACUUAUGCAUUCAUUGUUGAUUCCUGCAUGGGAAUCGAACCCACAACCUUGGUGCAUCAGAACGAUGCUCCAAGUCACCGACGCUACCCAGCCAGAUCGGGCUUUCCAGACUCCGGAGAGGCUGCCCCGCCCAGGGCUCCCAGUUCCUGGAGGCAGCGAAUGCCUGGCCUGGGAGGGUGCCUUUCACAUGCAAACCAGAACCAUUCCGGAGCCCGGGGACCACAGUGCACCCAGGCAACCAAGAUGGAGGACUCGUAGUACUAGAUGUCAAGACAAUGACAAUGUGUUACUGGAGAAAGGACACACAGAACAAUGGAACACAACAGAAAGCCCAGAAAUAGACCCACACAGUUAGAGCCCGCUGACCUCUGACAUCAGACCAAAGUCAGCUCUACGGAGAAAGUCCCUCAGUAAACGGAGCAGGAACCACUGGGGGUCCACAUGCAGAAGAAUCGAAGAACGGAGACCCAGACCUUACAUGACAAUUAAUUCAGAAUGGGUCAUGGGUCCCUUCCCCCCCCCACACACACACACACUGGUGUGGCUCAGCGGGCUGGGCGUCGUCCUGCAAACCAAAGGGUGCCUGGGCGGGGUCCAGGUCGGGGCACAGGCCAGGUAGGGGGCAGGCCGCUGGCCAGGGCGGGAGGGGCGACGCCCAGGGGUGUUCCUCGCGCUCACUGAUGUUUCUCCACCUCUCCUUCUCCCUCCCCCUCUCUCUAAAAAUAAAUAAAACCUUUAUAAAACAUGGUUCGUAAACCUAAAUGUAAAAUGCAAAACAACAAAACUUCUUGAAGAAAACAUAGGAGAAAAAUCUACAUGACUUUGGGGUUGGUGAUGAGUUUUUAAACACAACACUGGUAGCAUGGUCUAAGAGAAAAAAUGUAGUUUCAUCUUUAUUAAAAUUAAAAAUGUCUGUUCUGUGAAAGACACCGCUGAAAGAAUGGGGCGGGCGAGCCCCAGGCUGACAGAGAACAGCUGCUGAGCACGGAUCUGAAUAAAAAACCUUUAUCCAAAAUAUACAAACAAUUCUUAGACGUCAACAGUUAGAAAACACUUGAACAGCAAUUAAAAUUAAAAAAAGAAAAAGAAAAGAACCAACUACAUAUACUACAGUGGCCCCAUAAGAUAAUGGAACUGAGCUCUGGCUGGCGUGGCUCAGUGGAUUGAGCUCCAGACUGCAAAGCAAAGGGUC